GACGAACGCUGGCGGUGUGCUUAACACAUGCAAGUCGAACGGUAAGGCCCUUUCGGGGGUCCCCGAGUGGCGAACGGGUGAGUAACACGUGAGUAACCUGCCCUCAUCUCUGGGAUAACAGUCGGAAACGGUUGCUAAUACUGGAUAUGAGCUUGCAAGGCAUCUUGUGGGUUGGAAAGAUUUUUUUUGGUUGGGGAUGGACUCGCGGCCUAUCAGCUUGUUGGUGAGGUAGUGGCUCACCAAGGCUUCGACGGGUAGCCGGCCUGAGAGGGCGACCGGCCACAUUGGGACUGAGAUACGGCCCAAACUCCUACGGGAGGCAGCAGUGGGAAUAUUGCACAAUGGACGGAAGUCUGAUGCAGCAACGCCGCGUGCGGGAUGACGGCCUUCGGGUUGUAAACCGCUUUCAAUUGUGACGAAGCUUUUUUGUGACGGUAGCAGUAGAAGAAGCACCGGCUAACUACGUG
rnacentral:rRNA from 1 species